rnacentral:snoRNA from 1 species
CCCAAAUGAUGAAUUUUCCAAACAAGUGCCUUUAUUCGCAGUGGCCUCUCGAGCCCUUAGAGCCUUUUUUGGGCAGAUGAGAGCAAAUUUCCUUCCUUGGAUGUCUGAUUGA